CUCGUUGCCGCGUGUCGUGUUGCACUGGUUAAAGCGGGCGGCUGCACUCAAGCCGAUGGUCUGGAAGUUACCCUUGACCCCGCACAGGAUCCUGGCAGCUGUCACCGUAGACACCCCCAUCCCUGAAGGAACAGAAAUGUGUGAGGCUUGGGCCCCAGGGCUGUCCUGGAACCACUGAGGGUCCGGGUGCCAGGGCUGUGAGGGCUGCGGGGCUGGAAGGCCUGGCUCACUCACCGUCACCCAGGAAGAUGAUGAGGUUCUUGGCGGCUGUCUGUGCAGGCUGCAGCUUCUUGGCGGCACCCAGGGCCUCGGCUGCCUGGCGGUUCCAGAAGUCCGGGUUCUCCUCCUCAACUGGCCAAGGGGAGAGUAAAGAUCAGGAAACAGAAGGACCAAGACGACCAGUCCUCUGAGAAUACACGCCACAGCCUGGGCCUCCCCUUGCCCCAGGUAACAGCAACCAAGAAUCCCAGGAAUGGAGGCUUUGGCUCUUCCUCCAGCUGGGGAAGACCUGCUGCUUCUGCUUUGAAAUCCCUGGACCUCAGAGGAAGGGCUGUAACCAGACAUUAUGACAGGCGACUCUGGCAUGAAGGUAGGAGGCAGGGUGGCCAAGCAUCCCCAUGUGGCCAGGGUGUCACCAUAGACUUUGAAUGUGGACAAAUAUCCUUUGUUUACUGCAAGUGACAUUGGUGUGUGUCUGGUCUCCAGUCUUGCUCAGCACCUGAAAAAAUUCACCACAUAGUGAGCAACAUAGCAAGACCCUGUUUCUAUUUUAUUUUAUUAAUUAAUUAAUAAUUAAUUUUUAUUUUUUUGAGAUGGAGUCCCACUCUGUCCCCCAGGCUGGAGUGCAGUGGCACCAUCUCAGCUCACUGCAACCUCCACCUCCCAGGUUCAAGCGAUUCUCCUGCCUCAGCCUCUUGAGUAGCUGGGAUUACAGGCGCCCGCCAGCACGCCCAGCUAGUUUUUGUAUUUUUAUUUUUUUAUUUUUGUUUAUUUACUUGUUUUAGAGAUGGAAUCUCGCUCUGUCGCCCAGGUUGGAGUGCACUGGUGAGAUCUCUGCUCACUGCUCCGCCUCCCAGGUUCAAGGGAUUCUCCCACGUUCAAGGGAUUCUCCCACCUCAGCCUCCCGAGUAGCUGGGAUUACAGGCACCUGCUACCACACCUGACUCAUUUUGUAUUUUUAGCGGAGAUGGGGUUUCACCAUGUUGGCCAAGCUGGUCUCAAACUCCUGACCUCAGGCUAUCCACCUGCUUUGGCCUUCCACAGUGUUGGGAUUACAGGCGUAAGCCACUGCGCCUGGCUGAUUUUUGUAUUUUUAGCGGAGAUGGGUUUUCACAAUGUCGGCCAGGCUGGUCUCAAACUCCUGACCUCAAAUGAUCUGCCCACCUCGGCCUCCCAAAGUGCUGGGAUUACAGGCGUGAGUAGCUGUACAUGCUGGUUCGUACGUCGCAGGUCUCAUUAGCUUCUUAAAUCUCCACCCGGGGUGCGCUUUUUACUAUUAUAAUGAGCAAAGGGUCAGUUUGAGGAUAGGUAAAAUCAAAAUGCGCAUGCUCUCUAGAAAGAAAAGUCCCCACUGAAGAUAGCUUUGCUUGAAUGAGCUCAAUUACAAUUCGAAUGCUGAGGCUUAUUGUGUUGACUGUGCGGUCACCACGCUUGCUGCAUCCCAAGAACACGGUCACUUCCUUGAUUACCUAUCCUGUUUCAGUACCGCCCUUUGGAAAUACGUGCAUGUCACAUUUUGAAAAAUACUGGCUGAGAUGAAAAUGGAAAACGCAGCUGGAACAGUUGCAUCUAAUCUGGAUCAAAUGGCAAGCUUGUUCCUUUUCUUUCUUUCCUCUUGAGAUAUGUCAAACAUUAAAACUGCAGAAAACAGAAA